GACAUAUUGAGAUUAAGAUGCAUCUCAAAUAUAUGAUAUUACUUGAUUUAGAGUUUGUAUCAUAUUUCGCUUGCGGUACAAGGUCUAUGCAAUUACCUGAUCAGCUACGCGAAGAAGUUCAUUAGGCUUCAUGUUCUUUUUUAAAAUUGACAACUCUGCAUAUUGAAGUGAUCGUUGAAGAAGUAUCAGCACCAUUAUCUCAUAUUUGCGAUGAUGACGGUCUUGAGGAAACCUUCCUUUGGAUAUGUCCCUGGAGGAUCAUCGUUUUUGUUAAGUAAACCUACUCAUAAAAAUUGACAAGUCACAUCUAUAAUUUCAAAGGAAAUUUAAGAAACAAAAGCUAUUUUUAUCUGCUUUAAGGAAACUUAUAUAAAUUUUGUAAGCAAUGUAAAUUAGGAUUUUAAUUUUUUAUCGAAUCCUGUUUUUUCGAUACUUUGUUAAGUAGGUCGAUACACUUGCAUCUCGUGUGUAAAGCCUUGACCAGUCAUGCUUUAAUUAUAUAUUGUACAAAUUACAACUUCCUAAUUAGAUAAGAUGUAAUAACAUGUAAUUUUAAAUAUAAACAAUUUUUAUAAUUUACGAUCCCAUUGAAGAUUUUCAUAGUCUCAUCCAUCAAAACACGACAUGUUACUAUUACAUUACACGUGUGUAAUGUGGUAAGGUAACAAUCGUAAUCUUAUAUUAUAAUAUUAUCAAUGUAAUAUACUAUUGUCGUUUUAUUUUAUUAAAUUGGAUAAUCGAAAUGGUUAUACUAUAUUAUGAUAAUACUCAUGUUAUGAUUGUUAUAUUGUAAUAUUACUAUAUUGCUAUGCUAAAGAAACUGUUUUUGUAGCAAGUUACAUCAGUAAAACUUUAUGGUAAUAUUUAUUCUGUAGAAAAUUACUAGUUACAAUUAACGUGUAUGUACUUACCGUGUUCAAUUACCUGUUCUAAGCAAUUUUAUGUAUAAGGAAUUACUAAUGUAUAUUUGUUGGGCAUUUAUCGAUCAAUACUAUUGAAAAAAGAUGGCGAUAUGAAAAGAAAGAAUGAUCUGUAUGCAGCUAUACGAAUUAAUACAAAAUUUAAUCUGCAUGCGAUUAUAUUAUAGUAUAGGACUUCAAUAAGAUUUACCCUGAGUGUACUAGUAAGUGAGUAACGCUCGAGGGAGUCAAAAUCAAUUUUCACAUUUCGUGUAUAUUUUAGAUGUACUUCUAUCGGAUAUACUUCUUUAAAUUUUAAAUUUUUCUUUUAUACAUAUACCACUUUCAUUCGAACCGUUAAAUAAAUUAGUAGUCAUGUUCGACAUCCAUUUCAUUAUCACCAGAUUCGAGGACACCUAACGGUAUGUUUCCAUCAUUUCUGAUGCUGUGAAUAUUAUACCGUUUUAUACGAUAAAUUUAACACACAUAGUGUCUCAUAUUUACUGCGCGCUCACAAUUCGUAUUUCCUUUAACUUGUGUAUUUUACGAACGCCUUGAAAUUGUUUGGGGUUUUGUUUCGCAAUUGUUAAAUAAAGAUGGGACCACGUUCUCAGUAA